UGGAGGGCAAGUCUGGUGCCAGCAGCCGCGGUAAUUCCAGCUCCAAUAGCGUAUAUUAACGUUGUUGCAGUUAAAAAGCUCGUAGUUGAAGUGUGGGUGAUCGCUGUUGUGAGACUUCGGUCUCUCGACAGUAAGUCACCCCCUUCCAGUAUCCAGUAGUGGGUAUUCAGUUACUUACUAUUGUGUGUUGGUCAUUUACUGUGAGAAAAUUAGAGUGUUCAAAGCAGGCGUUUGCUUGAAUAGAUUAGCAUGGAAUAAUAAUUGAAGGCUUUCGUGUUCGAUUUGAUUGGUUUGUUCAUGGAAGCAAGGUUAAAAGGAACAGUUGGGGGUAUUCAUAUUCACUAGUUAGAGGUGGAAUUCUCGGAUUUAU
rnacentral:rRNA from 1 species